rnacentral:rRNA from 1 species
AUACGUAGGGGGCGAGCGUUGUCCGGAAUCAUUGGGCGUAAAGCGCGCGCAGGCGGUCCUUUAAGUCUGAUGUGAAAUCUUGCGGCUUAACCGCAAGCGGUCAUUGGAAACUGGAGGACUUGAGUGCAGGAGAGGGAAGCGGAAUUCCAUGUGUAGCGGUGAAAUGCGUAGAGAUAUGGAGGAACACCAGUGGCGAAGGCGGCUUCCUGGCCUGUAACUGACGCUGAGGCGCGAAAGCGUGGGGAGCAAACAGGAUUAGAUACCCUGGUAGUCCACGCCGUAAACGAUGAGUGCUAGGUGUUAGAGGGUUUCCACCCUUCAGUGCUGCAGCUAACGCAUUAAGCACUCCGCCUGGGGAGUACGGCCGCAAGGCUGAA